GAUGAACGCUGGCGGCGUGCUUAACACAUGCAAGUCGAACGAAGCACUUUGAAGUUUUCGGACAGAUGAGUGACUGAGUGGCGGACGGGUGAGUAACGCGUGGGUAACCUGCCUCAUACAGGGGGAUAACAGUUAGAAAUGACUGCUAAUACCGCAUAAGCGCACAGUAUCGCAUGAUACAGUGUGAAAAACUCCGGUGGUAUGAGAUGGACCCGCGUCUGAUUAGCUAGUUGGUGGGGUAAUGGCCUACCAAGGCGACGAUCAGUAGCCGGCCUGAGAGGGUGAACGGCCACAUUGGGACUGAGACACGGCCCAAACUCCUACGGGAGGCAGCAGUGGGGAAUAUUGCACAAUGGGGGAAACCCUGAUGCAGCGACGCCGCGUGAGUGAAGAAGUAUUUCGGUAUGUAAAGCUCUAUCAGCAGGGAAGAAAAUGACGGUACCUGACUUAGAAGCACCGGCUAAAUACGUGCCAGCCGCCGCAGUAACAC
rnacentral:rRNA from 1 species